UGCGUAGGCGGAUUUAUAAGUCAGUGGUGAAAUCUCUCGGCUCAACCGGGAAACUGCCAUUGAUACUGUUAGUCUUGAGUUCGGUUGAGGUAGGCGGAAUGUGUAAUGUAGCGGUGAAAUGCUUAGAUAUUACACAGAACACCAAUUGCGUAGGCAGCUUACCAGACCGACACUGACGCUGAGGCACGAAAGCGUGGGGAGCGAACAGGAUUAGAUACCCUGGUAGUCC
rnacentral:rRNA from 1 species